ACUCUUACUUUCAGAAACGAAGUUCAAGUGUUGAAGAGAGUAAGAUUGAAGAAGAAAUCCAGAAGAAGCUGGAUAUGGAAAAGAUAGCUUCUGCUUCAAACAUGAUUAUUCGUGUGGUGGAUUUAGGAUGUGCAACUGGUCCAAACACGAUCAUGACUGCACAAAGUGUGGUUGAAGCCAUGAAACACAAGUACAAAACACAAUGUCCGAACACUGAAACAGCACCAGAAUUUCAUGUCUUCUUCAAUGACCUA
rnacentral:sRNA from 1 species